rnacentral:snRNA from 1 species
AUCGCUUCUCGGCUCACCGAGCUUAGAUUAAGUGUAGUAUCUGUUCUUCUCAGGUUAGUACCCUGUGACGGAAACGAUUCGUUUCCUCUAUGUAUUAAUCGGAUUUUUGAACUUGGAGUACGGUGCUGGAGCUUGCUCCACCUGCUCAU